rnacentral:rRNA from 1 species
GACGAACGCUGGCGGCGUGCUUAACACAUGCAAGUCGAACGGAAAGGCCCUGCUUUUGUGGGGUGCUCGAGUGGCGAACGGGUGUGUAACACGUGAGUAACCUGCCCUUGACUUUGGGAUAACUUCAGGAAACUGGGGCUAAUACCGGAUAGGAUCUCCUGCUGCAUGGUGGGGGUUGGAAAGUUUCGGCGGUUGGGGAUGGACUCGCGGCUUAUCAGCUUGUUGGUGGGGUAGUGGCUUACCAAGGCUUUGACGGGUAGCCGGCCUGAGAGGGUGACCGGCCACAUUGGGACUGAGAUACGGCCCAGACUCCUACGGGAGGCAGCAGUGGGGAAUAUUGCACAAUGGGCGGAAGCCUGAUGCAGCAACGCCGCGUGCGGGAUGACGGCCUUCGGGUUGUAAACCGCUUUCGCCUGUGACGAAGCGUGAGUGACGGUAAUGGGUAAAGAAGCACCGGCUAACUACGUG